UCCCCUCUCCAUCUAAAAACACCCAAACCGACCAAAUCCCCAAAUCUCUCUCUCUCUCAUCGCUAAAGACCUUUCCCCAUUCCUUAUUCGCCAUUCUAAUCGCCAAAAACUCGCCGACGAUGAGAUCUCCGAUCGCGGAGAAGCCCCUGUUCCUUGCCGUCGCCGCCUACACCCUCAUCGCCGACGCUCGCUCCUCCGCCGCCUUCGAAUCCGAUGGUUCCUAGUCUCUCCCCUCCCCUCUGCUCGCGGCCCGCGCCAUUCGCGCCUCCGCCGCUCACCGCGACGCCUCCUCCGUCUCCUCCGCCUACGACGAGCCCCUCGCCGGAGCUGGCAAUAGAAACCCUAAGCAUCUCACGAGAUCCUCCACCUACGCCACUCACCAGGUUCGUAGAUUACUGCUUUCAGUGAUUGCUAUUCAGAGUUUGAGAAGCUAAAUACAAAGGUCUUGGGUGAUUUCAGAUGUCACGAAAUCAAUUUCCAAAUCAUAUGGAGUGUUGAUUCCGGACCAGGCUUGUUUUGACAAAGAAAAGCAAUUUCCAGACGAAAUAAUGGAUAAAUUAUUACAGGCUCUGCAAACCCAGACGAAGUGUGCCCCGCAGGAUGGAAGCCUGGGGAGAAAUCCAUGAAGCCUAAUCACAACAAAAACAUAUAUUUUGCUCUUCGACUAACUCGAUGCACUUUUGGUACUCCUAAUCUUGUCAAGGAUCUAAACAUGAAGCCACGACACGGAUCAAAGCCCGAGAAAGUUGUGGGGAGAGGGAAGAAGGAGGUUUAUUCGAGGCUUUGUCGGCAUACUUUCUUCGAUGGAGGCACAAAGGAUCAAGGAGGAAGAAACAUGAUGCUUCAACAACUUGGAGGAGUAAAUGAAAUUGGAUUCUAUAAAUUAUGCAAAGUUCAUUAAGUUAUGUAACAAUUGUAUUCUUUAUAAUCAAUCUAUGUAAAAAAUUUAUGCAC